rfam:Asian citrus Psyllid, Diaphorina citri - Florida Strain, whole genome shotgun sequence.
GCUCCCAUGGCGUAGUGGUCACUGCGCUCGCCUUGCACGGGGGAGACCCGGGUUCGAUUCCCGGCGGGUUCA